rnacentral:rRNA from 1 species
AAAACAUCUUUUCUUGUUAGUUUUUGAAGUAUGGCCUGCCCGCUGACUUGAGUGUUGAAGGGCCGCGGUAUUUUGACCGUGCAAAGGUAGCAUAAUCAUUAGUUCUUUAAUUGUGAUCUGGAAUGAAUGGCUUGACGAGGCACUGGCUGUCUUAGUGAUGAAUGUUUUAUUGAAUUUGGUCUUUGAGUUAAAAUUCUUAGAUGUUUUUAUGGGACGAGAAGACCCUAUAGAGUUUAACACUUGGCUUAUUUAUUUUAUGUUGUUUGUUUUGUUUUUGGUAAGUGGGCUUUUUGUUUUGUUGGGGUGAUGAGAGGAAUAUAAUUUAACUCCUCUUGGUUUUAGGUUAUAUUGAUUUAUAGUUGUUUGAUCCAUUUAUUUUGAUUGCAAGAUUAAAUUACCUUAGGGAUAACAGCGU